UACGUAGGGUGCAAGCGUUAAUCGGAAUUACUGGGCGUAAAGCGUGCGCAGGCGGUGAUGUAAGACCGAUGUGAAAUCCCCGGGCUUAACCUGGGAACUGCAUUGGUGACUGCAUCGCUCGAGUAUGGCAGAGGGGGGUAGAAUUCCACGUGUAGCAGUGAAAUCCGUAGAUAUUGGGAGGAAUACCGAUGGCGAAGGCAGCUUUCUGGCUCGUAACUGACACUGAGAUUCGAAAGCGUGGGUAGCAAACAGG
rnacentral:rRNA from 1 species